UGCCAGACCCCACUGCUAUCGGGAUAGGACUAAGACAUGCUAGUCGAGUGACUCAGGCAAAACGAGUCACGGCGAACAGCUCAGUAACACGUGGCUAAUCUGCCCUUAGGACGAGAAUAACCCCGGGAAACUGGGGCUAACUCUCGAUAGGUGAAGAACUCUGGAAUGAGUCUUCACUCAAAAAGCUUCACGUUAUCCUCGUGAAGUCGCCUAAGGAUGAGGCCGCGGCCGAUCAGGUUGUUGGCGAGGUAACGGCUCACCAAGCCUUUUACCGGUGCGGGCCGUGAGAGCGGGAGCCCGGAGAUGGGUACUGAGACAAGGACCCAGGCCCUACGGGGCGCAGCAGUCGCGAAACCUUUGCAAUACACGAAAGUGUGACAGGGCUAUCCCGAGUGCCAUCCGCUGAGGAAGGCUUUUACCCAGUCUAGAUAGCUGGGGGAAUAAGGAGAGGGCAAGUCUGGUGUCAGCCGCCGCGGUAAUACCAGCUCUCCGAGUGGUGUGGAUGUUUAUUGGGCCUAAAGCAUCCGUAGCUGGCUAGGUCAGUCCCUUGUCAAAUCCACCGAAUUAAUCGUUGGAUCGCGGGGGAUACUGCUUGGCUAGGGGACGAGAGAGGCAGACGGUAUUUUCGGGGUAGGGGUGAAAUCCUAUAAUCCCGGGAAGACCACCAGUGGCGAAGGCUGUCUGCUAGAACGCGCCCGACGGUGAGGGAUGAAAGCUGGGGGAGCGAACCGGAUUAGAUACCCGGGUAGUCCCAGCUGUAAACGAUGCAGACUAGGUGUUUGGACGGCCACGUGCCGUUCUAGUGCCGCAGGGAAGCUGUUAAGUCUGCUGCCUGGGGAGUACGAUCGCAAGAUUGAAACUUAA
rnacentral:rRNA from 1 species